ACAGAGGGUGCGAGCGUUAAUCGGAAUUACUGGGCGUAAAGGGCGCGUAGGCGGUUAUAUAAGUUAGAUGUGAAAUCCCCGAGCUUAACUUGGGAACUGCAUAUAAUACUGUAUAGCUAGAGUAGAAUAGAGGUAAGUGGAAUUUCCGGUGUAGCGGUGAAAUGCGUAGAUAUCGGAAAGAACACCAGUGGCGAAGGCGACUUACUGGACCAGUACCGACGUUCAGGCACGAAAGCGUGGGGAGCAAACAGGA
rnacentral:rRNA from 1 species